CAGUAGCCACGGGAAUACGAAGGGUGCAAGCGUUACUCGGAAUUACUGGGCGUAAAGCGUGCGUAGGUGGUGGUUUAAGUCUGCUGUGAAAGCCCUGGGCUCAACCUGGGAAUUGCAGUGGAUACUGGAUCACUAGAGUGUGGUAGAGGGAUGCGGAAUUUCUGGUGUAGCAGUGAAAUGCGUAGAGAUCAGAAGGAACAUCCGUGGCGAAGGCGGCAUCCUGGGCCAACACUGACACUGAGGCACGAAAGCGUGGGGAGCAAACAGGAUUAGAGACCCCUGUAGUCCCUGUCUCUUAUAC
rnacentral:rRNA from 1 species